rnacentral:tRNA from 1 species
GCCAGUGUGGCAUAGUGGUUUGAGUGCUGAACUAUGGCUCUGGAGAUCAGGGUUUGAUUCCCAGCUCAGCCA